CUUGAAAACUGAACUGAAAAAUGAAAUUUUAAAAUGCAGAACUCUUUUCGACUGAGCAGAGUUUUUCUGAUAUCGGAUUCUACAAGAACUUACCUAAAUUCACAGAGUUAUUCGGAGCAUCCAGUACAGACUUCUAGGGUUCGUAAAGAAACCAAGUUUAAACAAUUUUCUCGGUUUCAAAUCGAUGGCGGGAUGGCUUCCAACGGAUAGCAAGAAAAGGAUAGAUGCAGACUGCCCGAAACAGACAAGCGUGGAGAUCAUUGGAAGAGGCCUACAUUCCGGAGUGGAUGAAGAUAGCCCGAGAAGAAGAAGAAAAGUAACCGUAGUGUUGCUUUCGAAUGAACUGGAAGAAGAUCUGGAUAACUAGUGUCAAUGUUAAAUUCAAGUUAAUGGGAGGUCUGAAAAGAAUGAAGGCUAUUGUACUAGUAACUUGCACCCAUCCUACUGCAGAAACUCCAUAAGAAUACCUUCCCGAUCUGUAAAUAACGUUUUUUUACUUAUUACUUAUUUUUGUAUUUAACAUUGUUAUUCUGAGUAACUAAGGAUAUAUUUAAUCAUUAACGCUCUAUUUUGCAUCAAUGCCAAAUCACUUGUAAUGAUGUAAUUUAGCUUUUACUAGCAUGAAAACAAUUAUUUCUUAUU